rnacentral:lncRNA from 1 species
CGCACGGCGGCCGCACGAGACGCGACGUACGGCCCGUGGGCCGUGCCGCUGAGCUCCCUGGGCUCGGCGCCUAGACCCGGCGGCUGAGCGGAGCCACGCCGCAUUGUCGGCCAGAAAAAGUCCUGGAAUUCCUUGAACUCUCGACUCCAGAGAGUCGAGAUUCCACUUGCUGAUGCGUAUGUGCUGAAACACAAGUCGUGAAGAUGAUUGGCCAAGGCCAGAGUAAACCAAUCUUUGUCCACAUGAGCCCUGCCUUAAGGACAGCUGAGGCCCCUUUCCCAGAGGCGCUACCGUGGAAUCCGGUCAUGCAUGCAGCAGUUCUGAGCUAUAGUCUCUGAAAGUAGCUGAGGUCAUUCGUUACAUUUUCUUCUCUAUCGCUUCUGGAAAUACUACUAUCUUUUGUUUCUGGAAUGCCUGGGGGGUCAUCCUCUGGGGCGCUGGUACA